rnacentral:lncRNA from 10 species
AAAGUCAAAUAUUCUCAGCCUAAGAAGGGAUGGGUUAAGAAUAUCACACGAGAGGCAGAAACAAGAUGCCUUAGAAAUUCAAAGAAGAAAGAUCAUUGUGGAGUUAGAGCAGUCAUCGACAUGAAAUCGUACGAGAGAGGACUAUCUCAGCAAAAACUCAUCAUCAGGCUGUUAACUUCAACAUUUUCGAGGGCAUGGUUUGCCACGGGGUGCCCCUUGUGACUAUUUCAAGAGGCAAAGUGGUAUAUGAAGCCGGAGUGUUCAGUGUCACGGCAGGAGAUGGGAAGUUUAUUCCUCGAAAACCAUUUGCUGAAUAUAUUUACAAACGAAUAAAGCAGCGAGACCGGACUUGCACACCUACCCCUGUGGAGCGUGCACCCUAUAAGGGAGAAGUCGCCACACUGAAAUCCAGAGUGACAAAAGAAGAUGCCACAGCAGGGACCAGGAAACAGGCCCACCCCUGAAGUGUGUGCCAUCGGUAAGGGACUGUAGGCAAGAAAAGUCUUCCUGCAUGACAGCAUAUGAAAUUAGCAUCUCUCCUCAUAAGGGUUGAAGAGAUCAAGGUCAGAGGCUUCACAGUGAUCCAAGACUCAAGGACAAUUGAGCCAAGGGAAGAUUGAUCAAAGCAGAACAUUUAGAUAAGCCUUCCAGAUUGUAGAAGGCCUUGGGCUUGCUAGAGAGUCAUUCUUUAAGAUGUUAGGAAACAUUCAAUACAGCCUUGGAUAAUCAACUAUGAGCAAGUUGCACUAAGGAGGCUGAUAACAUACAGAGGGAACUACUUAAGACAGGGAGUAUAAUUUCAUGGUCAAAAUUUACAAAUGAAUUAGGACCUUAUCUGGAGAAAUGAAUCUUCAUAUUGUAAAUACAACGGUGUUCUAAAAUUUAGAAUAAAUGAAAAAUGAAUAAAAUGUUGCUUUAGGGGAUAUAAUCCUUCAGAAAAAUUCUUUGAUAGUAUCUGAUUAUUUCACAGUUAGUUUUGGGAAUAAUAUUACAGAUACAGUCAUUUUUGCAAAAGUAUUUGAGCACUUCAUCAGUUUUCUCUGUCUUUUGACAUGCAGAUCUUUCUUUUCUGAAGUGCCUCGUAUCAUCAUCCUUGUCAAUUUUCUUUCUUCAGUUGUCUUCUGGUCCUGCUCUCUCAGAUCCUCAUUU